GUUUGAUCCUGGCUCAGGAUGAACGCUAGCGGCAGGCUUAAUACAUGCAAGUCGAACGGGAUUCGAGGUAGCAAUACUUUGAUGAGAGUGGCGCACGGGUGCGUAACGCGUAUGCAACCUACCUUUAACAGGGGAAUAGCCCCGAGAAAUCGGGAUUAAUACUCCGUAACAUUGCGGUGUGGCAUCACACUGCAAUUAAAGAUUUAUCGGUUAAAGAUGGGCAUGCGUGACAUUAGCUAGUUGGUGAGGUAACGGCUCACCAAGGCAACGAUGUCUAGGGGUCCUGAGAGGGUUAUCCCCCACACUGGUACUGAGACACGGACCAGACUCCUACGGGAGGCAGCAGUAAGGAAUAUUGGUCAAUGGGCGCAAGCCUGAACCAGCCAUGCCGCGUGCAGGAAGACGGCCCUAUGGGUUGUAAACUGCUUUUAUCAGGGAAUAAACCCCCGCUCGUGAGCGGGGCUGAAGGUACCUGAAGAAUAAGCAUCGGCUAACUCCGUGCCAGCAGCCGCGGUAAUACGGAGGAUGCAAGCGUUAUCCGGAUUCAUUGGGUUUAAAGGGUGCGCAGGCGGAUUGGUAAGUCAGGGGUGAAAUCCCACAGCUCAACUGUGGAACUGCCUUUGAUACUGUCAGUCUAGAGUAUAGUUGAAGUUGGCGGAAUGUGUCAUGUAGCGGUGAAAUGCUUAGAUAUGACACAGAACACCGAUCGCGAAGGCAGCUAGCUAAGCUAUAACUGACGCUCAUGCACGAAAGCGUGGGGAUCAAACAGGAUUAGAUACCCUGGUAGUCCACGCUGUAAACGAUGAUUACUCGAUGUUGGCGAUACACAGUCAGCGUCUGAGCGAAAGCAAUAAGUAAUCCACCUGGGGAGUACGAUCGCAAGAUUGAAACUCAAAGGAAUUGACGGGGGCCCGCACAAGCGGAGGAGCAUGUGGUUUAAU
rnacentral:rRNA from 1 species